UACGUAGGGGGCUAGCGUUGUCCGGAAUCAUUGGGCGUAAAGAGCGUGUAGGCGGCCCGGUAAGUCCGCUGUAAAAGUCAAAGGCUCAACCUUUGAAUGUCAGUGGAUACUGCCGGGCUAGAGUCCGGAAGAGGCGAGUGGAACUCCUGGUGUAGCGGUGGAAUGCGCAGAUAUCAGGAAGAACACCAACGGCGAAGGCAGCUCGCUGGGACGGUACUGACGCUGAGACGCGAAAGCGUGGGGAGCAAACAGG
rnacentral:rRNA from 1 species